GCGGCUUGACGAACGUCCGCGCUGCUUCUCUCGCUUCCCGUCCGCUGUGGCCGGGCGAGGGGGGGCCUUCCGGAGCCAUGGAGGACGAGGUGGUUCGCAUUGCCAAGAAGAUGGACAAAAUGGUGCAGAAAAAGAAUGCUGCUGGCGCAUUGGAUUUGCUGAAAGAGCUUAAGAAUAUUCCGAUGACCCUAGAAUUGCUACAGUCCACGAGAAUUGGAAUGUCUGUCAAUGCUCUUCGCAAGCAGAGUACAGACGAAGAAGUCACAUCUCUAGCCAAAUCUCUCAUCAAAUCCUGGAAAAAAUUAUUAGAUGGACCAUCAACUGAUAAAGAUCCUGAAGAAAAGAAAAAAGAACCUGCAAUUUCAUCACAGAAUAGCCCUGAAGCAAGAGAAGAAAGUAGUUCCAGCAGCAAUGUAAGCAGCAGAAAGGAUGAGACAAAUGCUCGAGAUACUUAUGUUUCAUCUUUUCCUCGGGCACCAAGCACUUCUGAUUCUGUGCGAUUAAAAUGUAGGGAGAUGCUUGCUGCAGCUCUUCGGACAGGAGAUGAUUAUGUUGCUAUUGGAGCUGAUGAA